UGUGGGAUUGCCGUCGCUCAACGGAUAAAAGCUACCCCGGGGAUAACAGGCUUAUUUUCUCCAAGAGUCCAUAUCGACGAGAAAGUUUGGCACCUCGAUGUCGGCUCAUCCCAUCCUGGGGCUGAAGUAGGUCCCAAGGGUUUGGCUGUUCGCCAAUUAAAGGGGUACGCGAGCUGGGUUCAGUACGUCGUGAGACAGUACGGUCUCUGUCUACCGUGGGCGUAGGAAACUUGAGGGGACUCGUUCUUAGUACGAGAGGACCGGAAUGAACAUACCUCUGGUGUUUCUGUUGUUCCGCCAGGAGCAUUGCAGAGUAGCCAAGUAUGGAUGAGAUAAACACUGAAAGCAUAUAAGUGUGAAACUCACCUCAAGAUAAGGUUUCCCAGAAGGGCACUUGUAGACUACGAGUUUGAUAGGUUGGAAGUGGAAGUACAGUAAUGUAUGGAGCUAACCAAUACUAAUUGCCCGUUCGGCUUGGUCAC
rnacentral:rRNA from 1 species